rnacentral:rRNA from 1 species
GCUGUCACCCAUACCUGAACACAUAGGGUAUGUGGAGGGAACGCGGGGAAGUGAAACAUCUCAGUACCCGCAGGAAGAGAAAACAACCGUGAUUCCGGGAGUAGUGGCGAGCGAAACCGGAUGAGGCUAAACCGUAUGUGUGUGAUACCCGGCAGGGGUUGCGCAUGCGGGGUUGUGGGAGUGUGCUUGAUCAGUCUGCCGGCUGGUCGGAGAGUCAGAAACCGUUGUGGUAGGCGAAGGGCAUGCGAAAGGCCC